GAAGGGCUCGAGCGUUAAUCAGAAUCACUGGGCUUAAAGCGUACGCAGGCGGACGCGCAGGCAUCUUGUGAAAUCCCUCGGCUCAACCGAGGAACUGCGGGGUGAACCGCGUGUCUUGAGGCAAGUAGGGGCUGUCGGAACGCUAGGUGGAGUGGUGAAAUGCGUUGAUAUCUAGCGGAACGCCAAAGGAGAAAUCAGGCAGCUGGGCUUGUUCUGACGCUGAGGUACGAAAGCGUGGGGGGAGCGAACGGGAUUAGAUACCCCGGUAGUCCACGCCGUAAACGAUGUGCACUAGAUCGAGGGGGGUUUCUGACACCAUUCUCGGUCGAAGCGAAAGUGUUAAGUGCACCGCCUGGGAGUACGGUCGCAAGGCUA
rnacentral:rRNA from 1 species